ACCCGCACAAGCAGCGGAGUCAUUGUGGUUUAAUUCGAAGCAACGCGAAGAACCUUACCUAGACUUGACAUCUCCUGAAUUACUCGUAACUGAGGAAGCCCUUCGGGGCAGGAAGACAGGUGGUGCAUGGUUGUCGUCAGCUCGUGUCGUGAGAUGUUGGGUUAAGUCCCGCAACGAGCGCAACCCUUGUCGUUAGUUGCUACCAUUAAGUUGAGCACUCUAGCGAGACUGCCUGGGGUUAAACCAGGGAGGAAGGUGGGGAUGACGUCAAAUCAUCAUGCCCCUUAUGUCUAGGGCUACACACGUGCUACAAUGGCCGGUACAAAAAGAUGCAAACCCGCAAGGGGAGCCAAACUCAAAAACCGGUCCCAGUUCGGAUUGUAGGCUGAAACUCGCCUACAUGAAGUUGGAGUUGCUAGUAAUCGUGGAUCAGAAUGUCACGGUGAAUACGUUCCCGGGUCUU
rnacentral:rRNA from 1 species